rnacentral:lncRNA from 1 species
CUUGAGAUCACAGAAGUCUCUGUGCAGCAAGAGGUAAGCUCUGCCGUGCAUGAUAGGCAGCGGAGGGUCUGACACUUGUCCCCAAAUGCCUCAGGUUUACUCUGAGGCAGAUGUUUGAAGUUAUGGGUCACUUUCCCACACUUAGUAAACUGAUAGAAGUUACUUGCUUUCUAGAACCUCAGAACGGUACCAAGAUAAGUGGCUUCUAAAUUUGGGAUAUAACAAUGACUUUUUCUCCUGACUCCUCUAAACGAGAACUUCCCGAAGGAAGACUUGGGCACUUCCUCAUCUGCGGCGUUUCACUGCAGUGUCAGCUCACAGCCCAGUCUCAAGACAAACUUGGAUGAGCAACGGAGACAAGCCCAUGUCGUCAGCGCGUGAGUGGGAGUGAGCGGUGUACGCCUAUUAAGGUCCUAGCAGGUUGUCUCCGCUACACAGGUGCAACCCAGCAGCCACGCACCGGAGGAAGCAAAUCGGUUGCCAAGCUACAGGCCCGCGUGGGGCCGCCAAGAGACGGAGGCAGGGGGUUGGCCGCUCUCACCCAAUCAGCGACAGGGGGCAGGCCUCUUGCUAUCUCCACAGCCAAUCCUACAACAGUUUCCCCUUUGAAAGGCCAAUGAGAUUCGUGGUCAAGGCAACACCACGCCUUCUCAGGCCACGAACAUGGACUGUACAAAACUAGAGGAUGGGAUGAGGUCCCAGGACCCAGCGUGUAAGUCACAGAAGCCGUCCCACGAAGUCCCUCUUCGAAAUUAUCCUUCCUUUUUCUUUGAAUAUCAAAAGAUAUAGUAAGUGACUGGCAGGAUUCUAAGAUGACCUCCAGGAUCCCUACUUGCUGUACAAUCCUCAGGACUGUGAAGAUGAUGGAUUUUACUGCUGUGAUUAAGUUAUAUGGCACAUUCGACUUGAAGAAAGGGAGAUUAUUCUGGGAAUAUGUAGCAGUACAAAGUGCUAACGUCGUGUGGAUUUGAACCCCCAUCCUCGAGAGCAAAAGAAGGCUGGGGAUUGCCAAAUGUCAACUCAGCUGUGUCAGCCAUGGGACCCCAAGUCUCCAGCCAUGUCCAGUUCUCUGCAGACACUGAAUGCCUGUGCCAAGGCAAGCUGUCCACAACUGCUGCUGGAAGAGUGGUGCAGAGCCAACCGUUGGAAAUAUUGGUCACCUCAGCCUACGUGUGGGCCCAGUUCAUGAUGCAGUUGGAGCAUGUUAACCUGUGGUUGAAAUGACAGAGCAGGCAUAGGUACUAACAGAGAUGGAGAAAGGGGCUAAAGAAAGUAUC